rnacentral:rRNA from 1 species
UGUAAAAUUUUAAAGGUCGAACAGACCUAAUAUUUUAGCUUCUACACCAAAAAUUUAUUUUAAUCCAACAUCGAGGUCGCAAUCUUUUUUUUUAAUAUGAACUUUAUAAAAAAAUUACGCUGUUAUCCCUAAGGUAAUUUUAUCUUAUAAUCAAAAAUAUUGGRUCAUAUAUUCAUAAAUUAAUGUUUUUAAAUAAAAAAAGUUAAUUAAAUUUUUCAAUCACCCCAAUUAAAUUUUCCAAUAAAAUAAAUAAAUAAAUACUAAAAUAUAAUUUUUAUUAAAAAAUUAAACUCUAUAGGGUCUUCUCGUCUUUUAAUAUUAUUUAAGCUUUUUAACUUAAAAAUAAAAUUCUACUUAAAUUUAACAGAGACAGCUAUUUUUUUAUUCGACCUUUCAUUCCAGUUUUUAAUUAAAAAACUAAUGAUUAUGCUACCUUAGCACGGUCAAAAUACCACGGCCAUUUAAAAUUUCAGUGGGCAGGUCAGACCUUAAAUUAUUAACAAAAGGAC